ACUUUAUCCCUAGGGGAGUUGACCCCAGAGACUUUAUCCCUAGGGGAGUUGACCACAGAGACCUCACCUCUAGGGGAGUUGACCCCAGAGACCUCACCUCUAGGGGAGUUGACCCCAGAGACCUCAACCCUAGGGGAUUGACCCCAGAGACUUUAUCCCUAGGGGAGUUGACCCCAGAGACUUUAUCCCUAGGGGAGUUGACCACAGAGACCUCACCUCUAGGGGAGUUGACCCCAGAGACCUCACCUCUAGGGGAUUGACCCCAGAGACCUCACCUCUAGGGGAGUUGACCCCAGAGACCUCACCUCUUGGGGAGUUGGACCCCAGAGACCUCACCCCUAGGGGAGUUGACCCCAGAGACCCCACCUCUAGAGGAGGGACCCCAGAAUUGGGGAGGGGUGGGGGGGGUCCUAACCCAACGAUCCUGUUGAACCGGGACCACACAUAAACACACACACACGCACAUCUACACACACACACCUACACACACACACACACACACACACACACACACACACACACACACACACACACACACACACACACACACACACACACACACACACACACACCCACACACACGAACACACACCUACACAUACAAACCUACACACACACAGCUACACAAACACACAUACACAUACACCACACACCUACACACACCACAUACCUACACACACGUCUUUAGCGCCCUCUUGUGGUCAGCUUCUCACACUGCACUUUGUAACACGGGACUCCCAUGGGGUUAUGUGUGUGGUCCAUUAGUCUUAGAGGCGUUGCACCGCCUUUGUAGCAACACGUGUGUCAGUGUUGGUGCCAACAUGAUGUUACUAGUCUAGUCUAGUCCUGUGUCUACACUCCAUGUUCCCGUAGAACCUUCUGGACUGAUGUGGUGUUCACCCCUACAGGCUGUGGUCCUUUCGACCACGUGUGAUGAACACACACCUUAAGGAGCCUUCUCAGACCUGCUGAGGUCGCUAGUAGGGCGAUGUUGGAUUCAGGGCGGACUGGAGCCCUGGACUUGACUGCAGUGUGGAGGUCCGGCCAGCAGGGGCAGCCCUGUGGAGGCCUCAGUCCUGGAAGAAUGGCAGAACGUCUCACUGGUGUUUUUACUGGUGUUGAAUCCGUCACUGAUGGUGCGCCGUCACAUAACUUGAACUGUAUGUGAUUUAGAUAAGUUAAACCCAUGUCCUGAAACACGUUGGAGGGUUAGCAGUAGAAGCUUCUCACUAACUCUGAUGACAGUUAUAUUAUCAAUGUUUCAUGAAGGAAGGAAUGUCACAGAGAUUUCUAGAUUAAAUAAAUAAACAUAAUUGUAACUCUAAUGUGUGUGUGCGUAUGUUUAUGUGUGUAUGUGAGUGUGUGUUUGU
ensembl:lncRNA